rnacentral:rRNA from 1 species
CGGAUUCAUUGGGCGUAAAGGGUGCGUAGGCGGCGCGGUAAGUCGGGGGUGAAAUCUCGGAGCUUAACUCCGAAACUGCAUUCGAUACUGCCGUGCUUGAGGACUGGAGAGGAGACUGGAAUUUACGGUGUAGCGGUGAAAUGCGUAGAUAUCGUAAGGAAGACCAGUGGCGAAGGCGGGUCUCUGGACAGUUCCUGACGCUGAGGCACGAAGGCCAGGGGAGCAAACGGG